rnacentral:lncRNA from 10 species
CAAACAUGCAAGCGUCCACAGUAAUGUUAAUGAGCCCAGGCAGCAGUGUGUGUGAGUGAGCGGGCGUGUGCACAGGAGGGCCGUGAGCCUGCCUUUUUAAAAUACAGGAAACGCAUAGAAGAAAGAAGAGUUCAGCUGGAGCCACGACUUCCCUCUUUGCUUCUUUCCCUCCCCACCCCCCCACCCCCCACCUCACCCCCCACACUCCAGCACCGGCUUUUAAUUUUCAAAAGCACUGCAAUUGCUUGGUGUGGUUUCAAGAGCUGGGGUGCCAUUCUCCCUGAUGAUGACUCUGCUGACGUCAAUGGCAUUCUUAUCAUGCCUAGUGCGACAUCAGAAACCAGUCCUCAGAGGCUCCUCUUAUUCACAGUGCCUGGGCUCUCAGCAAAAUGUGGACCGGAUUCUGAAACGCAAAGGACUCCCCGUUCCUAAUCAGCGCUGCAAUCCACCAGACAGUCUCCUUCUGCCGGCAGCUUGCCAGUUAAGACUUUGUUCCUUAGCGUUCUGUCCUGCAAGGACCCCCUGAAGGAGAAGAGAGGGCUAAGUGGAUCACAGCGUGUCCUCCGUGUCUGAGCUUUCAGAGCCGUGUGUGUGUGUGUGUGUGUGUGUGUGUGUGUGUGUGUCCCUCAACCAAGGUUAGAGACUAGUCAAUGCUGCUUCUGAUUAUUCUUCAGGUUUUACUAAAAGGCUUCAGUCUUUGAUAUAAGGCUAUUCCCCCGACACAGUGGCUAAGACCCUCUUGUGUAAGUGCUCCUAGCUCACUCUCUGGAUCAGAACCAGCGCCCAGGUCCCCACGUGAAGCCCAUAUUCACCCCAGAUGGCAGCAUGCACCUCCUCUCCUUUUUUUAAUAAAGAAAAAGAAAUAGGAGGUUGGGAGGAGAAGGAAAAUAAUCAUAGCUGAAUAAUAAUAGCAGAAUAGGAAAAUAGUAUCACUAAGAAUUAAAUAUUUCACUCUAAAUACUCAUGACUUGUUAAGAGGUCUGCUCUCAAAAGCUGAAUUCACAAGGGAGUUAAUACAUACUAAACCCAGUAUGCAUUCCUACCUAGCAGUUUGGGGGCAAUUAUUAUGGGGAUGAUGAACUUUCUCCAUUUACAGUGGAGUGUAUUAUGGUCCAAAUCUACCCUAAAGCAUUUGGGAAAUGUCUACAGUUCAAAUUAAGAUGUUUAGAGUCAAGGUCAUUUCGCUUGAUGAUGGAAUGAUACAUGUCUAGUUAGAUUUCAUCUGACCAAUCUUUGACACAAACACAUCAGAAUUGUCUUGGUAUCCACCAACCAAAUAAUGUUUGUUUCUCUUGAAGAUUGCUGAGUGACCCAUAGUAAGCUUAUUAGGAGAUUAGGAGCAACUGUUCCAGAGAGAAGCUGUUUAACAACAUAUGAAAUGUGCAACAUAAUUCCAUCUAGAACUAUUUAGAAUCAUAACAUGGAAGAACAGCAGCUUACACCUGGUUCAACCCUUCUACCUUUAAGUGAGGAAACUGAUGCCCAAAGGCUGCGUCAUGCUUUACUCAAGGUCAUCCACCUAUUAAGAGGCAGGACUGACAAACUAAAGCUGUCUCUCUCUAAAUGGUAUGCUUUUCCUACUACAACACAUAGCUCCUGAUUAUUCAAAACCUAAUGACCAAACCUCAAACCCACUUGCCAAG